rnacentral:rRNA from 1 species
AUUGAACGCUGGCGGCAUGCUUUACACAUGCAAGUCGAACGGCAGCGCGGGCUUCGGCCUGGCGGCGAGUGGCGAACGGGUGAGUAAUGCAUCGGAACGUGCCCAGUAGUGGGGGAUAGCCCGGCGAAAGCCGGAUUAAUACCGCAUACGACCUGAGGGUGAAAGCGGGGGACCGAAAGGCCUCGCGCUAUUGGAGCGGCCGAUGUCGGAUUAGCUAGUUGGUGGGGUAAAGGCUUACCAAGGCGACGAUCCGUAGCUGGUCUGAGAGGACGACCAGCCACACUGGGACUGAGACAUGGCCCAGACUCCUACGGGAGGCAGCGGUGGGGAAUUUUGGACAAUGGGGGCAACCCUGAUCCAGCCAUGCCGCGUGCGGGAAGAAGGCCUUCGGGUUGUAAACCGCUUUUGUUCGGGAAGAAAUCCUCUGGGCUAAUACCCCGGGGGGAUGACGGUACCGGAAGAAUAAGCACCGGCUAACUACGUG